GCUGGUUUGGCUCAGUGGAUAGAGCAUCAGUUUGUGGACUGAAGGGAACUGGGUUUGAUUCCAGUCAAGGGCA
rnacentral:tRNA from 1 species